rnacentral:lncRNA from 10 species
CUCUGAAGGAAAACCUGUCCCGGGCUCUGUCACUUCACACCCAUGGCUAACCCUGGAGGUGGUGCUGUUUGCAACGGGAAACUUCACAAUCACAAGAAACAGAGCAAUGGCUCACAAAGCAGAAACUGCACAAAGAAUGGAAUAGUGAAGGAAGCCCAGCUUUUCCUUCUGGAUCUGGUGGUUUGCAAGAUUCAACGGUAGAGGAAGAGAGAGAUGGAUGAGACAUACCAGCUCGUGACUGCCUCAGCCCAGAAGUGACACAUGACAUUUCCACUCAGAGUCCAUCAGCCAGAAUGAGUCACAUGGCCUACCACAAUUGCAAGAAAGGCUGGAAAAUACAGAGAAAAUCAUGAAUAUAUAUAUAUAUAAUAUAUCUUCAUUAUUAGCUGUAUUCUGUCUGCCAUAUGGUGUGUAAAAAUCAUUUUCACCAUUGAUAUAUUAUUGGUCUGUAGUUUUCUUUAUCUGUGAUGUCUUUGUAUAAUUUUGAUCACCAAGGUAAUAUAAGGCUCAUAUAAUGCAUUCAGAAGUGUUUUUUCCUUCUGAAUAUUUUAGAAGACUUUGUAAAGAAUAGGCAUUAAUUCUUUAAAUGUUUGGCAGAAUUCACCAGCAAAGACAUCUGGGAUUGGGCUUUUUCUGUGGGAAGUUUCAAAUUAUUAAUUCAAUGCCUUCAUUUUUACGGGUCUAUUCAGAUUUUCCACUUCUUAUUGAGUUGGUUUUUUGUAUUAUGUGUCUUUCUUAGAGUGUCCAUUUCAUCUUAAUUCUAAUAUGUUGACAUAUAAUUAUUCAUCGCAUUCCCUUAUAAUCAGUGUUAUUUCUGUAAGAACAGCAGCAAUGUCCCUCUUUCUUGAUUUUAGUAAUUUUGCUGGUUUCUCUUUUUGAUUGAUCCAUCCAAGCAAAGCUUUGUUAAUUUUGUUGAUUUAUUUGAAGAGCCACCUUAUUUCUGUUAUCUAUUUCAUUAAUUUCCACUCUAAUUUUUGUGAUUGUUUUCUGUUUGCUUUAGCUUUAGUUUGUUUUACUUUUUCCAUGGUCUUAAGAUAAGGUGAUAAGUUAUUGAUUUAGAUCUUUCUUUUUAAAAUAGAGGCAUUAGAGCUAUAAAUGUCCUGUUAAGCACUGCUUUAGCUAUAUCUAAUAAGUUUAGGUAUACAUGUCUUCAUUUUUAUUUAUCUCAAAGUGUCUUCUAAUUUCACUUGAUGUCUUCUUUGACUCAUUUACUAUUUAGGAAAAUGUUGUUUAAUUUCCACAUAUUUGUAAAUUUUCCCAUUUUUUCUGUUAUUGAUUUCUAAUUCCAUUGCCGUUGGAAAGAACAUACUUUGCAUAAUUUCAAGCUUUUUACAUUUAUUGAGGCUUAUUUUAUGACUAGCUGCAGAAUGUUCCAUAUGCGCUUUAGAAAAAUGUGUAUUUUGCUGUUUUGGGGAGACGUGUUCCAUAGAUAUCUCUUAAGUCUAGUUGGUUUAUACUAUUGUUCAAGUCUUCUAUUUUCUUGUUGGUCUUCUGCCUACUUAUUUUAUUCAUUAUUGAAAGCAACAUAUUAAAGACUCUAAUAUU